CUCUCUCUCUCUCUCUCUCUCUCUCUCUCUCUCUCUCUCUCUCUCUGUCUCUCUCUCUCUCUCUCUCUCUUUCUUUAUUCCUUGCACUCCGAUGAUCGGUGUAUACGAUGCAUAAAGUGGACGCUAUUUUAGACUAUUAUAGGUAGCUGACGUAAAAGCAUUCUUUAUUCUUCCGUAGUGUAGACGACAACAAAGUAGACACUAUGACUCCAUGAAUUUACACUGAUUACAUAUUGCACUUAAUUCGUUUCACGUUUCAGUAUAGAAUCAUUCGAUGUCUGUCUAUCUCUCUAUCUUCGUAUACUAAUUGAUACAAAUGAUCGAGACAUAGACAGAGAGAGAGAGAGAGAGAUUUCAUUGUGUUCUCAUCCACAAAAUUACAACACGCCUUUGGAAUUGCAUUUUAACUAGGUUUUGUCUUUUCGAAGGACGAUCGAUCAGCGGUUUCUAUGAUCGAUCUAUCGUUGCAGAAAAUAAAAGGAAUAGAGAGCGAGAAAGAGAGAGAGAGACAA